AGUAGGGUCAGCUAAAUAAGCUUUUGGGCCCAUACCCCAAACAUGUUGGUUAGAAUCCUUCCUCUACUA
rnacentral:tRNA from 1 species